CUGAACUUUCCAUUACAAGCACCCUCAGGUUUUAAUUAAGAUCAAGUCUCUUUUUUUCCCACCUCAAACAUGGUUUUCCUGAGCAGCACAGGUGGCCACAGAAAUCACUUGGAAUUGGCCUUGGAACUUGUUUAAUGUCACUGCCUAAUCACUUUGCUAAACGUCACUGAUCCAAAGCAUUAAUUUUUAUCUUAAGUUUCUACCCUGGUUCUCUUUCCUUCCAUGUAGGACACCCUCAACUUAUCUGCAUGGAAGAACAAAAUGUUCUGCUUGAUUUUAUUCCUCUUUUUUUCCCUAGGAUUGUGAGAAGGACUCCAGGCAGGGUAAUGUUUCUGUUUCAAUAAGGAAUGUUGUAAUAUAUGACAAGUAAGCUUCCUUUUAAUGCUGAGAAUUAGGGUUUUACACUUCUUUAUAUCUCUUCCAGACUCCUGCAAAUUUGGCAAGGCAGCUGUCACCUUGAACCCUUAUUCCAGACCUCUCGAGAUGCCCAAGGGUAGAGACAGAACUCAGUUUUCUCAAAAUGUUUCAAGGGAACAAUUCUUAGUUCUUUCCCCGAUCUUCCGCUCUUUACCUGGAUUUUAUUCCAUACUCAUUUUCUCCAGUUUGUUGAUAAGCAAAUAAUGGUAAUACAUUUUAAAUACACACUAAAUAAACCACAUAAAAGCACAAAAUAACUCACCUUUAUGGCCUAAGCAUGAAGGAACAGUGCAGAUGAAGGUGAUGGAAGGAGACAUGUGAGAAAAGGACAUGGGAACUGAAUGUGCCCAUGUUACCUCAGGAGUUAACCUGCACUGAGUUAAAUAACCUUCCUCUUUCUUCACCUUGCUCUCCUUUUCAAAGUGUUGUUUAAUGUAAUGAAACACCUUCUCUUUCUCAAAUGACUUUUGGUAAAAUGAAUCUUUUGAUUUAAUAGUGUUGAAUAAGAAUUGCAAGCCUCAGAGAGAAGAGAAAAUGAGGGCUGCUUCACACAGUGGACAACAACCAGUCUUUACUCAGCAAGCAUCAACACUGCCAGUCUCUGUGACUCAGCGAUGGAAAGAAAGAGUUCCUGCUUCUCUGAGAGCUCCUAGUCCAAUGAUUUGGGAAGCACUUGUUUAGGACAUGGGUGAAGAGAAGAGUUUUGAGCAGAAGAAAGUGUGCUACUUCUUUU